rnacentral:lncRNA from 1 species
GCGGGACAGACACGGAGGGACGAACGAACGAACGGAUGUACAGACUAGAAAACAUAAUGCCCAUAAAUGGGGCAUAACAAUUUAUUGUUGAAAGGGAAAAUAGUGAUUUGGCAAAAAUGAAAGUAAGGUAGAGAUUAGAAGUAGGCAGAACCUUUUUCGGGGCGUCGGGAUCGGGUGUUUUUAAGCUCGGGAUUUGGGGAUUGAUCCUUACGGGAUCCGGGAAUAUAUUUUUCGAUUUCGGGAUUUCGGGAUAUGCAUUUCUUUAAAUUCUGCAUCUCGGGAUUUCAUGGUUUUAAGCCCGGGAUUUCGGGAUCAGGACCCGUCCGACCACCCCUCAAAUUAGCCUUAGUCAUUUAUACAUGAUUCAUAUCCUACCAUUGGCAUGUUAAUAAGGCUCUCAAAAGAAAAAGAAAACACUGAUGGAUUAUCCUAGA